rnacentral:rRNA from 1 species
GACGGAGUAUGCAAGUGUUAUCCGGAAUCACUGGGCGUAAAGCGUCUGUAGGUGGUUUAAUAAGUCAACUGUUAAAUCUUGAGGCUCAACCUCAAAAUCGCAGUCGAAACUAUUAGGCUAGAGUAUAGUAGGGGUAAAGGGAAUUUCCAGUGGAGCGGUGAAAUGCGUAGAGGUUGGAAAGAACACCGAUGGCGAAGGCACUUUACUGGGCUAUUACUAACACUCAGAGACGAAAGCUAGGGUAGCAAAUGGG